CUACGGGUCGCACCAGUGAGGAAUAUUGCACAAUGGGGGGAACCCUGAUGCAGCAACGCCGCGUGGAGGAUGACGCAUUUCGGUGUGUAAACUCCUUUUAUAUGUCAAGAAAAUGACGGUAGCAUAUGAAUAAGCACCGGCUAACUCCGUGCCAGCAGCCGCGGCAAUACGGAGGGUGCAAGCGUUACUCGGAAUCACUGGGCGUAAAGGACGCGUAGGCGGGUUGGAAAGUCAGGUGUGAAAUCCUACAGCUUAACUGUAGAACUGCACUUGAAACUUCUAAUCUAGAGUAUGGGAGGGGGAGAUGGAAUUAGUGGUGUAGGGGUAAAAUCCGUAGAUAUCACUAGGAAUACCUAAAGCGAAGGCGAACUCCUGGAACAUUACUGACGCUAAGGCGUGAAAGCGUGGGGAGCAAACAGGAUUAGAUACCCGUGUAGUC
rnacentral:rRNA from 1 species